AACCGGAUUAGAUACCCGGGUAGUCCUAGCUGUAAACGAUGUUCGCUAGAUGUGGCACAGGCUACGUGCCUGUGCUGUGUCGUAGGGAAGCCGAGAAGCGAACCGCCUGGGAAGUACGUCCGCAAGGAUGGAACUUAAAGGAAUUGGCGGGGGAGCACUACAACCGGAGGAGCCUGCGGUUUAAUUGGAUUCAACGCCGG
rnacentral:rRNA from 1 species